GACGAACGCUGGCGGCGUGCUUAACACAUGCAAGUCGAACGGAAAGGCCCUGCUUUUGUGGGGUGCUCGAGUGGCGAACGGGUGAGUAACACGUGAGUAACCUGCCCUUGACUUUGGGAUAACUUCAGGAAACUGGGGCUAAUACCGGAUAGGAGCUCCUGCUGCAUGGUGGGGGUUGGAAAGUUUCGGCGGCUGGGGAUGGACUCGCGGCUUAUCAGCUUGUUGGUGGGGUAGUGGCUUACCAAGGCUUUGACGGGUAGCCGGCCUGAGAGGGUGACCGGCCACAUUGGGACUGAGAUACGGCCCAGAUUCCUACGGGAGGCAGCAGUGGGGAAUAUUGCACAAUGGGCGGAAGCCUGAUGCAGCAACGCCGCGUGCGGGAUGACGGCCUUCGGGUUGUAAACCGCUUUCGCCUGUGACGAAGCGUGAGUGACGGUAAUGGGUAAAGAAGCACCGGCUAACUACGUG
rnacentral:rRNA from 1 species